UACGAAGGGGGCUAGCGUUGUUCGGAAUUACUGGGCGUAAAGCGCGCGCAGGCGGUCUUCCAAGUCAGUGGUGAAAACCCGGAGCUCAACUCCGGAACUGCCAUUGAAACUGUUAGACUUGAGGAUGAGAGAGGUGAGUGGAAUUCCCAGUGUAGAGGUGAAAUUCGUAGAUAUUGGGAAGAACACCGGUGGCGAAGGCGGCUCACUGGCUCAUUACUGACGCUCAGGCGCGAUAGCGUGGGGAUCAAACAGG
rnacentral:rRNA from 1 species